CCUACGGGAGGCAGCAGUGGGGAAUAUUGCACAAUGGGGGAAACCCUGAUGCAGCAACGCCGCGUGAAGGAAGACGGUUUUCGGAUUGUAAACUUCUGUUCUUAGUGAAGAAUAAUGACGGUAGCUAAGGACCAAGCCACGGCUAACUACGUGCCAGCAGCCGCGGUAAUACGUAGGUGGCAAGCGUUGUCCGGAAUUACUGGGAGUAAAGGGAGCGCAGGCGGGAAGCCAAGUCAGCUGUGAAAGCUACGGGCUUAACCUGUAGACUGCAGUUGAAACUGGUUUUCUUGAGUGAAGGAGAGGUAAGCGGAAUUCCGAGUGUAGCGGUGAAAUGCGUAGAUAUUCGGAGGAACACCGGUGGCGAAGGCGGCCAUCUGGGCUUUAACUGACGCUGAGGCUCGAAAGUGUGGGGAGCGAACAGGAUUAGAUACCCGAGUAGUC
rnacentral:rRNA from 1 species